AAGCCGACUGUGCGUAUAAGGCUCUUUAGCGAUAAAAAAUUAUGCUGCUGUCCAGCUUGUUCUGCGCAGUUCUUUUCGGUGUAUCAGUGGCUACAAGAUCGAAUUUUUCAGAAGAAAGCAUUCAUAACGUAGAUAUUGUUAAGUUCUGGAACACAAGCGAAUUGAUCUGGACGACCUACACAACUGUUUUGACACGUCGCGUCUGCAAAGUUGACAUUAAAAAAAACAUAUCACAAACAAACAUCAACUUUACCAGGUCAUAUCUCCGAAAGACCCGAUCUUCAUCAGAAGUGUCCUAAAAAUAAAAAGCGUCACGUCAAUGAAUAAAACAAUGCUCUAUAGUCUCGGGUUGGUUGCAUAGUAUACAAUUCACUGUGUAUGGUGGACCACGAGAGAAUAUAAUGGACUUUUUUAUAACUUCUCGAGUGGUAACGAAUCACAGAUGCCAUUUGAUUCGGUGUACAUAACUUCAAGGCAGAAAUAUGAUGACGCAACAGAAGUCUUGUACUACCAAAGCCAAGACAACAUGUGCGCUGUUUUUUCGGUACUGACCAUCCGCGGACCAAUAUUGAAGCCAUCGUACGACAUUCGAAUGAAGAACUCGUCUGUACAUAAAAUACCUGCUGCGAAAAGUGAAUGUUGGCCAAAAUUCCUAGAAGUCUCGGAAGGAAGACAAAAGAGACGUUUGUACGACCCGAGAUGUCAGAAGGCACUACAUGACAAAUUUCCCAACCCCUUACAUGAUAGCUGGCAUUCAAAAUGAACCAAAAUGUAACCACAAGCUUGCACCAAUUACAAUGACGAAACCUGAA